rnacentral:rRNA from 1 species
GCGAACGCUGGCGGCAGGCUUAACACAUGCCAGUCGAGCGGGCAUAGCAAUAUGUCAGCGGCAGACGGGUGAGUAACGCGUGGGAACGUACCUUUUGGUUCGGAACAACUGAGGGAAACUUCAGCUAAUACCGGAUAAGCCCUUACGGGGAAAGAUUUAUCGCCGAAAGAUCGGCCCGCGUCUGAUUAGCUAGUUGGUGAGGUAAUGGCUCACCAAGGCGACGAUCAGUAGCUGGUCUGAGAGGAUGAUCAGCCACAUUGGGACUGAGACACGGCCCAAACUCCUACGGGAGGCAGCAGUGGGGUAUAUUGGACAAUGGGCGCAAGCCUGAUCCAGCCAUGCCGCGUGAGUGAUGAAGGCCCUAGGGUUGUAAAGCUCUUUUGUGCGGGAAGAUAAUGACGGUACCGCAAGAAUAAGCCCCGGCUAACUUCGUG